rnacentral:rRNA from 1 species
AACGAACGCUGGCGGCAUGCCUAACACAUGCAAGUCGAACGAGAUCUUCGGGUCUAGUGGCGCACGGGUGCGUAACGCGUGGGAAUCUGCCCUUUGGUUCGGAAUAACAGUUGGAGACGACUGCUAAUACCGGAUGAUGACGAAAGUCCAAAGAUUUAUCGCCAGAGGAUGAGCCCGCGUAGGAUUAGCUAGUUGGUGUGGUAAAGGCGCACCAAGGCGACGAUCCUUAGCUGGUCUGAGAGGAUGAUCAGCCACACUGGGACUGAGACACGGCCCAGACGCCUACGGGAGGCAGCAGUGGGGAAUAUUGGACAAUGGGCGAAAGCCUGAUCCAGCAAUGCCGCGUGAGUGAUGAAGGCCUUAGGGUUGGAAAGCUCUUUUACCCGGGAUGAUAAUGACAGUACCGGGAGAAUAAGCUCCGGCUAACUCCGUGCCAGCCGCCGCGGUAA